rnacentral:rRNA from 1 species
CCUACGGUGGGCAGCAGUGAGGAAUAUUGGUCAAUGGCCGUAAGGCUGAACCAGCCAAGUCGCGUGAAGGAAGAAGGAUCUAUGGUUUGUAAACUUCUUUUAUAGGGGAAUAAAGGUAUCCACGUGUGGAUAUUUGCAUGUACCCUAUGAAUAAGCAUCGGCUAACUCCGUGCCAGCCGCCGCGGUAAUACGGAGGAUGCGAGCGUUAUCCGGAUUUAUUGGGUUUAAAGGGUGCAUAGGUUGUUUUUUAAGUCAGCGGUGAAAGUUUGUGGCUCAACCAUAAAAUUGCCGUUGAAACUGGAAGACGUGAGUGUGUUUGCGGUAGGCGGGAUGCGUGGUGUAGCGGUGAAAUGCAUAGAUAUCACGCAGAACUCCGAUUGCGAAGGCAGCUUACUAAGCCAUAACUGACACUGAAGCACGAAAGCGUGGGGAUCAAACAGGAUUAGAUACCCCAGUAGUC